CAGCACAAUACGCUUGUCAAAAAAUGGAGUGAAGUUUUCAUUCAUAAUUUGACAGCGAUCAUUCAAACAAAUUUUGUAGCAGUGUGAUUUGUGGUGUCAGAUCUUCAUAAAAUGUCACUUUUUCCAGCGUACUCAAGCACUUCUAAUGAUCCUCCCCACACUUGCAACACGACUAUAAAAAUCGAAGGUGAAGCGUCAAACCACUGGCUGAAAAAUUCAAGCUAUGUCAUAGCUGCGGUUAAAACGCCUGUGAUCGAUAUAUCAUCAGAAUCCUCAUCCGACGAGUCAGUGAAAAUUUUAACAAAUGAUAUCCCACGUUCACCAUCUCCUGAGAUAAUACCGAUAGAUUCUGACUCAAGCUUAAGUAGUGAUCACAAGAGUUCGAGACAUUCUAAAAAGCAUAAAAAACGCAAGAAGAAACAUAGAGAUAGAAGUAGUCAGAGGCGCGAGCCCCAGUAUGAAAAAGAAGUUGCAAAUGUGUAUAUCGAGGACACCACCAGAGACAGAAGGAACUUGACCAUCUCUACACAUACUGGAAGAAAUAGGCCAAGUUAUACGCUACAUGGUUCAGGCUCUCUCGGAUUUACAGCAUAUAAAACAUCGAAGAGGCAAGUGACUCAGAGAUAUCACAUGGUCAACAUAGACUCCGUGCAAAAAGGAGAAAAGCUGGAUACUAGAAUCAAAAGAGGGAGUUCUAACAACAAAAAUAAGGAUCAAAAUGAACAGGAAGAUAUUAAUUGGGGUGUGAACAUGGAACAUGAGCAAACGGAAAGGACUAGAGAGUUCAAUGAACAACUUGCCGAGGAUCCAACUGAUAUUGAAUUAUGGAUAAAAUAUAUCAAGUUUCAGGAUGUUAUUUGUCAAUUUAAAAAAGAUAGAGGAAUCAAAGACGUUCGUAGCACAACUACUUGCCAGCGUAAACUGGCAAUAACGACUAAAGCUUUAGAAAAGAACCCUAGUUCUGUUGAAUUACUGAAACUCAAACUAGAACUUACUGCUGAACUGUUACCUGCAGAUCAAUACUCUGUCGAAGUCGAGACGCUACUGAACAAGGACUCGGGUAAUAUCGUUUUAUGGCAAGCCUUAAUUAUGGCCACGCAAACUUCGCUGGCUAUAUGCACAGUCCCAAAAGUUUUGGACUUAUAUUCUAGAUGUAUUACAAGCUUGCGACAACGUCUGAGAACCAACUCCCGGUUAUAUGAUGAACAGAUUUUAGAAAUGCUGUACCGAUGUUUGACAUUCUUGAGGCAAGCAGGGUUAUGGGAACAAAUGUGGGAAACCUUGAGAUUGAAUCUGACUCUCAAUUUGAAUUUGAGUAAGGAUAACUUUCGUUUCCAAGGAUUUAUUGACGAACGAAAAUUGAUUGGAAUGGAAGAAGUUAUUUUAACGUCACAACUUCCCUUGAACCAACUUUGGCUCAGAGUAGAAUCUCUCCGGGAAAGCUGCCACUGGAUCAGCGUAAGCAGCGAUCAAUUAGAACUUUUAGGAGAUUCAAGGCGAUUUGUAUUACCUGAAGAUGUCACAGACUUUGUGCAACCCAUAAUGUCCCGAGGAUCAAGUUUAAAACUUGCCAUCUAUGCUAUUCUCUCCUUAAAAGUGCCCAUACUUCCUAUGUACGAUUUUAUUGCCCGGGAUCUUAAGUUAACGGAAUUGUCAUGGGAUUUGGAUUCGGUCGAAAUGUUGUUACCGUUAGCAUAUCCUUUGGUUGGAAUACUGGGGGGGUCUAUAGAGAAAAAAAGGGUGAUAGAAGGAAUACUCGAGGGGAAUUUAACGUCAGGUCCGCAGUACCUAAAGUUUCAUCCGGCGCAAGAGCCUUACUUAGACUUUGUCAGGGAUACAUUUUGGGCAAUCGCGGAAAGUUUUCUUCCCACACAGUACGAGCGUACGAGUAUUUACGUUUGGUGGCUGCGCUUCGAAAGGCUGUUAGCUUCUCUAAAUCGGGACAAAGAUGAUUAUAGGCGUAAAAAACUAAAAAGUAUGGUGAAAGAUUUUCUGAAACGUGAAGGCAACAGAAAUAAUCUUCACUUAUACAGGGAAUACGCUCUGAUCGAAAGAGAAAUCGGCCAUUUCAAAAGCUGUGUGAAUAUUCUCGAGACAGCUAUUGGAAUGCAGAGUGAAUUUCUUGCAACAAUUUCCGAUCGCUACGAAAAAGGAGCCCUUUGCAGCGUGUUCAGAGCUCUUUUUGAGACAUUACUCGAUGAGAAAACUUAUCAAGAAGGUCAUAAGGGCCAAAUACUAACAUCUACCGCUCGUAUGGUUCCUGGACCAGAUGAAAAUCGUUUGGAGCAGGCGGAAGAAUUUUUGGAAACUAGCGUCCGCGAAUUUUUACAGCAGCCUCUGCCAGAUGCAGAUGAAAAUAUGUACUUUCUUCCAUAUCUUGAAUGUGAUUUGAUUACGUGUUACGCCUAUUUCCUCUAUGUGAAAAAUUCUACCAUCACCGAAUCGAUUGCCGUAAUGGAAAAUUGUUUGGAAUAUUCUAAAGACAACAAGUAUUUACAGGAAUGUCUGUACGAAAGUACCAUUGCUCUUUUGCAUCUGGAUUGCAAGCAAUCAAAAUCGCAUACAAUUUUGAAGGAGAAACUUGACAAGGGAUUGGCGUUGUACCCCAUGAACUGCUACAUGCUUUCCAUUGAUAUAGAGAUGGAGAGUAAAUUGCCAUGUUGGAAGUUGAGCAGAAACCGCGAGGGAUCAUUGCAAUUAUUGGCAUCGUGUCUCUCUGGUCGUGUUCGCAUCGAGCGGUUGGAGAACCUCGGGCUCACAGAUGCUGCACUAGCUGCAACGAAUAAGCUCUUGUCGACUUAUCGGAGAUUAGCUAGAGAUUCUACAGCACAAAAGUGUCCGUUGAUGUGGAGACUGUACAUGCUCUUUUUGCGAGAACGAAAUUUAUGCGAGGGAAGGGGAGAGGAAGUCUAUCACGAAAGCGUUGCCCAGUGUCCAUGGGCCAGAGGUAUUUAUACAGACGCUGCCCAAGUGGCGCCUCAACUUUUAACCGAAAUCCAGGACUUGAUACGCGAAAAAGAACUGAGAAUGCACGUCACGCCGGAAGAAUUGGAUAUUCUUCGAGGCUGAAUUUGGGUACCGAAUUCUUUUCAUAUCCAUAAUUAUGUUUUCCCGGGAUAGAAGAAGUGCUAUCUGAAUAAAUCUAGGCAACCAUUUCCGCGACCGGGGUAUCCCAGAGGUCUGAUUCGAGAAUGCUAGCAAGUGAAAUCCAGUGCUCAGCCGUCUCGUAUUGCUGUGUUAUUCAUUGAUGCGCCCUUUACUCGCACUGAUAAGCUGGCGUAAACAAAACACCCAGGCAAUUCCUAGAAGAAGCCAUACGAGCAAAUUGGAACUCUCCAGUCGGUCUCGUGAGCCCGACAAAUAUCGUACCUUACCUGAAGAAAAGAGAAAAAGGAAAAAAAAUUCAACCCGUGUACGUACUACAACAAUUCGGACAGAUUAGGCUGUCAAUCGAUCGAUCGAUCAUCGAUGGACACGAAGAUCCACGCACGCAUACACCUAUAUAAUGGAAAAUUACACCGCUACCUGUACAACGGAGCGCCGCAGUGGAGAUGAAUUUG
rnacentral:misc_RNA from 1 species